CAAAAAGUUUGGUCCCAGCUUUAAUAUUAAUUAUUAUUAGCCUUACACAUGCAAGUAUCCGCACCCCAGUGAAAAUACACUCCUUUAAGGAGUUGAUAUCAGGCACAAUAUAAUUUAGCCAAAGACAUCUAGUUAAACCACACCCCCAAGGGCAUGCAGCAGUGAUAAACAUUGAUACAUAAGCACCAGCUUGAAUCAGACAUAACUAAAAGGACUGGUAAACCUCGUGCCAGCCACCGCGGUUACACGAAGAGUCCAAAUUAAUAUGACCGGCGUAAAACGUGAUAUCAAUAAUAUCAUUUAACUAAGAUGAAAAACUCAUCAAGCUGUAAUACGCACCAAUGAAUACCUCACCCAAUAUCGAAAGAAAUCUUAUAUACAAGACAAAUAAAUUUCACGACCGCUUAGACACAAACUGGGAUUAGAUACCCCACUAUGCUAAGCCGCAAAUAUACUUACAUACAUAUUCGCCAGAGUACUACACGCGAUAGCUUAAAACUCAAAGGACUUGGCGGUACUCCAACCCCUCCGAGGAGCCUGUUCUAUAAUCGACAGUACCCGCUAAACCUCACCAUUUUUAGCCAACCAGCCUAUAUACCACCGUCUCCAGCUAACCUUUUGAAAGAAAAAUAGUCAGCACAAAGAAUCAACUCAAAACGUCAGGUCAAGGUGUAGCAAAUAAAAUGGGAAGAAAUGGGCUACAUUUUCUUACUAAAGAAUAUACGAAUAGUGUAAUGAAAAAAACACCUGAAGGCGGAUUUGACAGUAAUUAGAAACAAUCAUAUUCUAAUUAAAAUGGCAAUGGAGUACGCACACACCGCCCGUCACCCUCAUCAAACAUCUAAAAACCUUAAAUAAACUAAUAUAUUUAUAAAUAGAAGAGGAAAGUCGUAACAAGGUAAGCGCACUGGAAAGUGCUCUUGGAAUAAU
rnacentral:ncRNA from 1 species